UCCCCCUCUCCAUGCGUUGGCAAUUUGCAAACCAACUUUAUUGAUACUUUCACUGCCACUUCGCUUGGUUUCUCAUUUCAGAUGCUCUCUACUUUCUCUCUCUAGGGUUUCACUUCUGCACGUGGAGAUGUUGAGACAGAAGAUUCAGAUCAAGAAGAUUGAUAACUUGAUGGCACGCCAAGUCACUUUUCAAAGAGAAUAAGAGGGGUUUAAAAAAGGCUCAAGAACUCUUUCUGAUGCUGAGGCUGCCCUAAUUGUUUUUUAGCAACUGGUAGACUCAUCCAUUAUUGUAGCUCAAGCAUAAUGCAACUAAUUGAAAGGCAUAGAAGGCAAUCAGAGAACUCCAACAAAUUAGGGCAACCGUCCCUCCAACUUAAGUUUUAUCCUUUCUUUCAGAACACGAGAUGAAGCAACUAUCUCAGAAAUCCAAAAAUAUGAUACACCUGGCUGGAAUUCAUUCCAUGCUUCUUUAGGAGUCAUUUUGCACACUUCGAUGGGACAGCGAUUCAACAAAGAUACGGCACAUUGAGCAGCUUCAGCCUGGAACUUCUUUUGCAUCUUCUUAGUUUUCAAAAUAUUUCAAGUCAUUUUUAUGAGUCUUACUCUUCCUCUUUGCUAUUAAAGAAUGUUAAAUACCAUGAUCUUUGUAUAUACUCUUGAAUGUGUUGCUAAUAUAUUCACUACCACGAUUUGAGUAUGAGGUGUUGCCUCCAAACA